CCCCGGAGCGACCGCGCCGCCGCCCAAUCAGCGCCCGAGCUGCUCGCCGCCGCCAAUCCCCGUCGGGGCGGGGCGGGACUAAGCGGAAGCACCGCCGGUCGAGGCGCGCAGGGGCCUCCGGGGCGGCGCUGCGGUCGAGCGAGUGAGGGCGGCAGGUGCCGGCGUCGAGUGACCGGCCGCCCGUCAGACCUCUCCGGCGUCGAGUGACCGGCCGCCCGUCAGACUUCUCCGGCGUCGAGUGACCGGCCGCCCGUCAGACUUCUCCGCAUCAGCUGGGCGCCUGCUGAGGCCGCAGAGCCCUCUGGUGCCGCCAUUUGUUUCUGCGACGCCGACCUCUCUGGACUGGCCUCCGGGAACCCGCGUGUUUGUCAAAAGCUGUGGCGCGGCCGAGGGGGUGCGGAGCCCCGUGGAGCGCAGAGUGGGGCGGCCAUGCGGCCCUCAGCACCUGAUGCCCCAGUAGCACCCCUGGCGCAGGUGCGCAGCCACUUCCGGUCCCACGCUUUCCCUCAGGAACCCCGCUGACAGUCCGGCUGCCGCUGCCGCUGCCUCAGGCCCCUUCGCGGUGCACAGGCCGCCCCUCCACAGUCUCCUGGGCCGAGCUGCGCCCGCCCUUCGCCCUUCCCAUGCCGGGCGACACGUGUUCGCGUCCCGCCAGGGAUCUCUGCUCAGAUGCUGCUCCUCUCCAGACACACAUCUCUCCUCAGAUGCUGCAGUCUCCCCAGAGACACAUCUCUGCCCAGAUGCUGCAGUCUCCCCAGAGACACAUCUCUCCUCAGAUGCUGCAGUCUCCCCAGAGACACAUCUCUGCCCAGAUGCUGCACCUCUCCAGAGACACAUCUCUGCAUGUAGAGCAGACUCUUUCCAGCCUGUGCCACUGAGAGCAGGGCCUCAACUGGCGACCCAAAGCAAAGGCAGAUUUUUUUUUCUCUCUCUCUUUUUGAUUUUCAGGAAUUAAAAUUUUUUUGGGAGGGGGAAUUUUAUUUAUUUAUUUAUUUAUUAUUGGAUAGAGACAGAGAGAAAUUGAGGGGGAGAUAGAGAGACACCUGCAGUACUGCCUCAGCACUUGUGAAGCUUUCCCCUUUGCAGGUGGAGACUGGGGCUUGAACUUGCAUCCUUGUGCAGUGUAAAGGUGUGCUGAUGCCUGGCCCAAGGAAUUUUAAAUUUUAUUCCGGAAAAUUGAGGACAUUCAUAUGUUAGGCUGAGAGAGAGAGAGACCGAGAACCCCCCCCCCCCACAUCUUGAUGGGAGGCCCACGUAGGGAGAGAGAGAGUGAGAGAGAGCGCCUUUACAUCUUGAUGGAAGGCCCACGUGGGCAGAGAGAGAAAGACACAGAGAAAGCAGCCCUUCAGAGCUUUUACUCACAUGCUGACUGGGCAGAUCCCCCCCUUUUCAAAUUUUUUUUAUCUUUAUUUAUUUGGAUAGAGACAGUCAGAAAUCAAGAGGGAGCUAGAGAGGGAGAGAGAAAGAGAGACACCUGCAGCCCUGCUUCACCACUCACAAAGCUUUCCCCCUGCAGCUGGGGACUUGGGACUCGAACCUGGGUCCUUGUGUACUGUAACAUGUGUGCUCACCAGUUGUGCCACCACCUGACUCCCAGUUUUUGUUUUUUUAAAUAGACUUCUUGGGUAUGUGACAACUUAAACAACUUGAAAGACUCUCAGCACUUAAUUGAACUUUUUUUUUUUUUUUGUAUAGUUGCCGCAGGGUCUAGCCCUGAAAUUCUAGAUUUCACACCUCUGCAAAAUAGGUGUCAGCAUACCUCGCCCACUUCCAAACUGCCAUCUCUCCACCUUAGGACACUGAGCUUCCAAAUGUGUUAAAGUCAUUUCAGUAUUGAGAGAGAGGGAAAGAGAGACACCAUAGCAUAGCAGCUUCUUCUGGUGCUGUGGCACUCCUGUGUGGCGCAUGAACUUGGAUCGUCACAUGUCGCCAGGCACUGCACCCAGCCAGGUAUAUUUCUGGAGUGAAUUUCUAGAGGUGGAUUCCUGGGGUGGAAGGUUUCAAGAGAGCAGUGUGCUCCCUGGCAGAGGAUUAAACCAAACCCAAAGCCUUUCAGAACCUGGGCCCUGGUGACUGGACACUUCAUGAGUCCAGAUCUGCCCACUGUGGAAUGGUGCAGAACUAUGAACAAAGUCCAGCUCUCUUACCUGGGCCAGACUCAGCUCCUGGAGCCGUUUGGUGCAGCUUGAGGCCAGUUACAGCUGCAGAAGCUUAGAAGAAGUUCAAGAAGCACCAGUGAGGUUUCUCUCUUCCUCAAGGACAGUAUGAGGAAGCAUCUUUCCUAGGUACAACAUGGAUGAAGUGCAUUUAAGCAGUCAGCCUUCGACUUGGUAUGAAGUCAGACAGAAAACCAAGGGCCUGUUUGGCGGAAGCACGAUGACCAUAGGGCCUGUGAUGCCGCCGAUGCCGCUGAGAGGCAGAGGAGCCAGGACAGCCACCUGGUCUCUGGGCCAGCAGUUGGGGCGCGAGAGGGCAGCACCCCGAGAGUCUCCACCACCAUCCCCCCACCAUUUACCUGGAGUGUGACUUGGGCGAUUGCCUCGCCCAGCCUAUGAGUGGCUGAUCAGCUCCACCUGCAUCCCCAGGGCUCGCUAAGGCCUGGUGACAAGACUCAGAGCUAAUGAGCUUCAAAAAGAAACAGAUGCGUGGAGCCCAGCACUUCCUGCUUGAGCGUUUGCUCUGCCCUGCCCCACCGUCGGCUGUCAGAGGGACCAGAGGCUGCAGCAAGAGCCACCUGGAGGAGGCCAGACUCCACUCUCAUCUGCUCCACCCCAGGGCCUGCGCCUAACCAGCAUCAGUCGCCUUCUGCUUCCGCCCUCUGUGGGGUCACUACAUCCGACCUGCCAAUGACUGCGGUGGAGGGGUGCGAGCCAGGCUUCAACGCAUCAGGCCGACGGCCUGCGGUCAGGUGCGCCAUGCGGGCCUCUCCCCUGCCUGCUGGUGGCCACGCACCUUCCCGUGGGUCCGCGCCACAGCCUCUCCCUGGCCAGAAUGCAGCCCAAAGGAGCUUUUCAGAACAUCACAUUUUGCCCCAGAAGUCUCCUGUGCUUCCUCGUCCCCUCGGGCCUGGGGAACACCCCCUCCUUGGCUCUAUGGCUAAAUUCAGAUAUCUCUGCGGAAAUAGAUCGCACGUGUGUUCUCGCACCUACCCCACCGAGACAGAGGAGGGGCAGUUUUGAAGCUGGAUCACCAAGGACGAGUAAGGACCAAGCUACCAGAAAAGCCUCAGUGUGUUCUGCGCACAAAGACGUGGGGGCACGGCAUGUUGUGACUUUGCACACAGCCCAGUGCUGGCUGGGAGGCCCUGGCAGAGAGCAGUUGAGGAGGCUUCCUCUGCCCCAUGUAGGCUGUUCUGCAGCUCGGCCCCCAGAUGUGAGCAGAAACCA